rnacentral:rRNA from 1 species
AGGGCUUGACAUCCAACCGGACGGGCCGAGAGAUCGGUCGUCC